rnacentral:lncRNA from 10 species
UAGAGACGGGGUUUCACCGUGUUAGCCAGGAUCGUCUGGAUCUCCUGACCUCGUGAUCCACCCGCCUUGGCCUCCCAAAGUGCUAGGAUUACAGGCGUGGGACACCGUGCCCAGCCCAGGUCAGCCUGUUUCUAGGACCCAUCACUCUGAACCUCUAGUCCUUGUGCCCUUCGAGGGUGCAGACGGUGGUCUCUGCAUCUCCUUUGCUCCACGUGCCAGGCACAGGUGCCUGGGAACUACAGAAGAGGUUGAAUAGAAGGCUUAACAAUGAGUUUGGAAGUCAGGCACAGAGGGUUUGACUUCCGGGGGCACCCCUUGCCAGCUGUAUGACCCUGGUAACAAGAGGAUUCAGAAUCUGAGAGAUACUGCUUAAAAGGAAAAUGUCCUGGAGGGAUGCCAAACUGCACUCUCAAAGGUUUCGGCUGGAUGUGUGAUAUUGAUGGGGAAACCCAUUUCAGUGUCUCUAAGAAGGGGGUAGUGCUCCUCUUUCCAGGAUGUCUCUGGGGAAUCUAGAGCACCCCAAAGUGUGGUAUGCAUAGAAACAUUGCUGCUUAAGGUCUGAAUAUUUGUUCCUCAUCAAUUCAUGUGUUGAAAUUCUAACCUCUCCUGAAUGGGAUUAGUGCUCUUACACGAGAGGCCUGACAGAGACUCCUCACCCUUCCCACCAUGCGAAGACACAGUGAGAAGGCUCAGUCUAUGAACCAAAAUGUUGACUGUCACCAUUUACUCAAUCUGCUGUCGCCUUGAGCUUGGACUUCCCAGCCUCCAGAACUGUGAGAAAUAAAUUUCUGUUGCUUAUAAGACAACCAGUUUAUGACAUUUCGUUAUAGCAGCCUGAAUGGACUAAGACACCCUUCCCACCAUGUGAAGACAGAGUGAGAAGGUUCGGUCUAUGAACCAAAAACUGACCCUCACCAGUCAUUGAAUCUGCUGGUGCCUUGAUCUUGGACUUCCCAGCCUCCAGAACUGUGAGAAAUAAAUUUCUGUCGUUUAUAAGCCACCUAGUUUAUGAUACUUUGUUAUAGCAGCCUGAAUGGACUGAGACACCCACCUUAAAAAGACAGUACCUCAAAACCAUAAGGCAGGAUAACUGCUAGCCUGAUAUUAAUAGUUUUUAAUUUACUGCUAGCUUCAUUUUGCCAACUGAGUCAGAUAUUUUUUAAAAGUUCUGUUUGCAAUUAUUUUAACUUAGGAGAGGAGAAAAAGAGCAGGCAUCAGCCUGCAUAUGGGAUAUUUCUGAAAGGAUUUUGCUAUGAUUAGCUUGCCCUCAGGGAGAGUAAAAUGUGAGUUAUACAACCAUGCUUAUAUUUAGAUGUUGUUGAUGUUCUGGCUUAUAAUAUAUGAUGAGUUAGAAAUAAUUUUGUACUGAUCAGCCCAACCAGAAAAUAAACAUGCUUUAACUUGUAUUUAUUACUAAACUUGGUCUCCUAAAACAUGAUAAAGCAGUUGAGUCUAUAAUGACUGAGCCAUAGCUUCUCUGACUGACUCUAAGAGGGAAUGACGUUAAUAAGAGAUUAGCCCAUACCUCUAAUAGCCCUGGGAGAGAUGAACCCAAGACGGCAAGGCCCAGCUCUGAUGGAUGAAGGGACAGAGAACUAUAAGAAGACUGGGUUCCAUCUAGGAUGGGUGGCCUGUUGAGUGCCCAUCUUAUCUGCUUAGAUGAUGAUACUUGGAGACCUGACUCAAUUGUUGUGAAUGGUCUUUGUAAAAUUUUAUUUUAGAGACAGGGUCUUGCUAUGUUGCCCAGGCUGGUCUCAAACACCUGGGCUCAAGUGAUCCUCCUGCCUCAGCCUCCUGAGUAGCUGGAACUGCAAGUGAUUACUCUUAUUGAACAAACAAACAAAAACAAGUGCCUGUGACCUAAUAGAGAUGCAUGCAUAUGUUCACCAAAAGAUCUAGAAUGUCCACAACAGCCCUAUUUAUCAUCACCCCAAAUGGGGCACCCUGCACCUACCUCAACAGUAGAUGCAUACAUUUCUGUGUAUUUACACUGUGGAAUAUGACACAGCAAUGACAAUGAAUGAACUACAGCUAUACACAACAACAUGGAUGGCUAUCACAAACAUAAGGUAGAGCUAAAAGCGAAAAAAACCAGCAUAAAAGUGGGCAAAAGCCAUCUAUGUUGUUAAAAAUCAGGAUAGUGGCUGCCCUGGAAGGGGGCAUGAGGAGGCUUCAAGGUGCUUGUCAUGUUCUCUUUCUUCACU